GCCCGUAGCCAAAUUACAUUCGCUCCGUAUCGAUUCGAUCUCUACGUUCGCGAGCGACUGGUCGAUAAUGUUUAUAAUAACCUAGCCAAGAGGCAAUCUUUUUAGUUAUCGCAUAUUCGACGGGCCAAGUCGAUAAAAAUUAAUUUUAGUCUGUGGUUCUCGUUCAAAACUGUCAAGAAACGUCAGCUGUCAAGAGUGUCAAGUGAACAGCGAAUCUAAUUUUGGAGAAAAUAAUUGUUUUAUCGACAGCCGUCGUCACCGCAGCCCCAAUCAAGGCGGCGGCGCAGCCAGAGCGGGCAAGAGCGGGCUCCGCGGGCUCUUCUUCCACGCUGAGAAGUCCUCGCCAAGUUGGCACGAACAGUCAAAGCUGCCGCUGCAAUGACGCCUUCAUGGCAGUUACCAGUGCUAAGGACGUGCACUGCUGGCUUACUUGACCAGAAGAGACAAUACUUUAAGUGUUAGUAAUGAUUCAAACCGUGAAGUGAAAUUGUGAACAGGUUUGCCCGAAUCAGUGUAACCUCAGUGAACUCAUUUACUUCAUAGACUUCAAACAUUUUCGAAAUUAACAAAAGUCAAGCGAACAUUGAAUACAUAGAUGUUAUGCAUUAGAUAAGAUAAAAGCUGCCUGUGAAACCAAAACCAAUAAAUCAUAUUAUUACUUAA